rnacentral:rRNA from 1 species
ACGUAGGGGGCAAGCGUUAUCCGGAUUUACUGGGUGUAAAGGGAGCGUAGACGGCGGAGCAAGUCUGAAGUGAAAGCCCGGGGCUCAACCCCGGGACUGCUUCGGAAACUGUUCUGCUAGAGUGCUGGAGAGGUAAGUGGAAUUCCUAGUGUAGCGGUGAAAUGCGUAGAUAUUAGGAGGAACACCAGUGGCGAAGGCGGCUUACUGGACAGUAACUGACGUUGAGGCUCGAAAGCGUGGGGAGCAAACAG